GAUGAACGCUGGCGGCGUGCUUAACACAUGCAAGUCGAACGGUGAACGAGGGAGCUUGCUCCCUCCGGAUCAGUGGCGAACGGGUGAGUAACACGUGAGCAAUCUGCCCCGAACUCUGGGAUAAGCGCUGGAAACGGCGUCUAAUACCGGAUACGACGCGCGAAGGCAUCUUCUGCGCGUGGAAAGAAUUUCGGUUCGGGAUGAGCUCGCGGCCUAUCAGCUAGUUGGUGAGGUAACGGCUCACCAAGGCGACGACGGGUAGCCGGCCUGAGAGGGUGACCGGCCACACUGGGACUGCGACGCGUCACAGACUCCUGCGGGAGGCAGCAGGGGGGAAUAUUGCACAAUGGGCGCAAGCCUGAUGCAGCAACGCCGCGUGAGAGACGACGGCCUUCGGGUUGUAAACCUCUUUUAGUAGGGAAGAAGCGAAAGUGACGGUACCUGCAGAAAAAGCACCGGCUAACUACGUGCCAGCCGCCGCCGUAACAC
rnacentral:rRNA from 1 species